GUUCUCCUACGGGGCGCAGCAGUCGAGAAUCAUUCACAAUGGGGGAAACCCUGAUGGUGCGACGCCGCGUGGGGGAAUGAAGGUCUUCGGAUUGUAAACCCCUGUCAUGUGGGAGCAAAUUAAAAAGAUAGUACCACAAGAGGAAGAGACGGCUAACUCUGUGCCAGCAGCCGCGGUAAUACAGAGGUCUCAAGAGUUGUUCGGAAUCACUGGGCGUAAAGCGGGCGAAGGCUGGUUCGUAAGGCGUGUGAGAAAGGCGCGGGAUCAACCCG
rnacentral:rRNA from 1 species